GUUUGAUCCAGGAGUUCAAACCAAAAAUGUUGUCUUCUCUCUCUCUCUCUCUCUCCUCUCUGCUUUGCACAGUGUCAAUAUUAGGCUCACAAUGACCCCUAGCCCCCAGUGGCUCUCCUUGUGUGUGACAGCAGAAUCAGGGCACCACUUCCAACAUCACCUGCUAACACUCUUCCAUCCACAAGAAAGACUAGAACUAUUCGGUCGACUCUCCUGGGUCUCCAGCUUGCGGACUAGAUCUGGGGACUUAACAGUUUCCAUACUCACGUGAGUCUCUUUUUCUAUAUAUCUUGAUCUUCUUGGUUCUGUUUCUCUGGAGAACCCUGACUAAUACAGGACCCAAAGGAAAGAUGAGUCAAUGAUGAGUUUCAGGCUGANNNNNNNNNNN
rnacentral:lncRNA from 1 species